rnacentral:rRNA from 1 species
AGUGAACGCUGGCGGUAGGCCUAACACAUGCAAGUCGAACGGCAGCACAGUAAGAGCUUGCUCUUACGGGUGGCGAGUGGCGGACGGGUGAGGCAUACAUCAGAAUCUACUUUUUCGUGGGGGACAACGUAGGGCAACUUACGCUAAUACCGCAUACGACCUACGGGUUAAAUCAGGGGUUCUUCGGAGCUUUGGCGAUUGAAUGAGCCGAUUUCGGAUUAGCUAGUUGGCGGGGUAAAGGCCCACCAAGCCAACGAUCCGUAGCUGGCCCGAGAGGAUGGUCGGCCAAACGGGAACUGGAACACGGUCCAAACCCCUACGGGAGGCAGCGGUGGGGAAUAUUGGACAAGGGGCGAAAGCCUGAGCCAGCCAGACCGCGUGGGUGAAGAAGGCCUUCGGGUUGUAAAGCCCGUUUGUUGGGAAAGAAAAGCAUCUGGUUAAUACCCCGCUGUUCUGACGGAACCAAAAGAAUAAGCACCGGCUAACUUCGU